CGGAGGGUGCAAGCGUUAUCCGGAUUCACGUGGGUUUAAAGGGUGCGUAGGUGGGCAGGUAAGUCAGUGGUGAAAUCCCCGAGCUUAACUUGGGGACUGCCGUUGAUACUAUCUGUCUUGAAUAUCGUGGAGGUAAGCGGAAUAUGUCAUGUAGCGGUGAAAUGCUUAGAGAUGACAUAGAACACCAAUUGCGAAGGCAGCUUGCUACACGGUAAUUGACACUGAGGCACGAAAGCGUGGGGAGCAAACAGGAUUAGAUACCCUGGUAGUCCACGCCCUAAACGAUGAUCACUCGACAUCAGCGAUACACUGUUGGUGUCUGAGCUAAAGCAUUAAGUGAUCCACCUGGGAAGUACGAUCGCAAGAUUG
rnacentral:rRNA from 1 species